GUGAAUUUCGUUAACAGCAGCCUGUUUUAAAUUUAAUAUUCUGUGAAGUUUUUUUUUUUUUAAUUUUACAAAAUAAUAAAAAAUCCAAGAAAAUUAUACAUAUGUAUUUGUCAAAAAAUGUGGAAAAUAAAAGAGUGUCUUUUGAUCUUCAAAAUGUAAAUAUAGCAACAAUAACAACAAGAAAAACGACAACAAUACAAAACAAUAAACUUUGUAAAAGUUCUGGUCUUUGUUGUCUUUGUUUGAAAAAGUGGCACAGUGGUUUGAAAGUUUAAAAACUUUAUAAAAACUAUAUAUAAAAGAAGGAAGUGUCUAUAUGUAUAAGUGAAAGAAGUCUCUACAGGCUAAGAAUAAGAAAAGUUAUGUACCAGUCGAAUAAAUGAGUAAUUCCUCUGAUUAAACCUAUAAGACACUAGAUCAAAACGAUUGCCAAGAACUGCUGGGAUGUGAGAAAAUUUUACAAUUUUUACUUUUGUUGCUCAACUCUGCUAAACAACUGCAGCAAUUGCGUUUUACACUCUCUCAAUUCAUACCUUUUGCUUGCUGCA